GAAAGCGUAACAGCUCACUGAUCUAGCGAUUCUGCGCUGAAAAUAUAACGGGGCUAAGAUACGCACCGAAGCUUUAGAUUUGGUAUUUAUACCAAGUGGUAGGAGAGCGUUCCAAACAGCGUUGAAGCCAUACCGGUGAGGAGUGGUGGAGCGUUUGGAAGUGAGCAUGCAGGCACGAGUAGCGAUAAAAGCAGUGAGAAUCUGCUUCGCCGUAAACCCAAGGAUUCCUACGCUAUGCUCGUCAUCGUAGGGUUAGUCGGGACCUAAGUCGAGUCCGAAAGGGGUAGACGAUGGCAAAUUGGUUAAUAUUCCAAUACCGACAGUUGUUCGUUUGAGUGAUGGGGGGACGCAUAGGGCUAAUCGAGCUCGCUGAUGGAAUAGCGGGUCGAAGGACGUAGGAAGUAACAUAGGCAAAUCCGUGUUGCAAUAUUCCGAGAUCUUACAGGCCGAGCAAUACUUUCGAGUAGCGCUUAGAAUCGAUGAUGCCGUCG
rnacentral:rRNA from 1 species